rnacentral:rRNA from 1 species
AGUUUGAUCAUGGCUCAGGAUGAACGCUAGCGGCAGGCUUAACACAUGCAAGUCGAGGGGUAACAUUAGUGCUUGCACUAGAUGACGACCGGCGCACGGGUGCGUAACGCGUAUAGAAUCUACCUUUUACAGGGGGAUAGCCUUUAGAAAUGAAGAUUAAUAUCCCAUGGUAUUGCGAAGUGGCAUCACUUUGUAAUUAAAGAUUUAUCGGUAAAAGAUGACUAUGCGUCCUAUUAGUUAGUUGGUAAGGUAACGGCUUACCAAGACAUCGAUAGGUAGGGGUCCUGAGAGGGAGAUCCCCCACACUGGUACUGAGACACGGACCAGACUCCUACGGGAGGCAGCAGUGAGGAAUAUUGGGCAAUGGAGGCAACUCUGACCCAGCCAUGCCGCGUGCAGGAAGACUGCCCUAUGGGUUGUAAACUGCUUUUAUACAGGAAGAAACACUGCUACGUGUAGCAGCUUGACGGUACUGUAAGAAUAAGGACCGGCUAACUCCGUGCCAGCAGCCGCGGUAAUACGGAGGGUCCGAGCGUUAUCCGGAAUCAUUGGGUUUAAAGGGUCCGCAGGCGGUCAAUUAAGUCAGAGGUGAAAUCCCAUAGCUUAACUAUGGAACUGCCUUUGAUACUGGUUGACUUGAGUCAUAUGGAAGUAGAUAGAAUGUGUAGUGUAGCGGUGAAAUGCAUAGAUAUUACACAGAAUACCGAUUGCGAAGGCAGUCUACUACGUAUGUACUGACGCUCAUGGACGAAA